GCGGCAGUAGCUCAGUGGUAGAGCUUCAGUUUCCCAAACUGAAGGUCGUGGGUUCGAUUCCCAUUUGCCGCU
rnacentral:tRNA from 4 species